rnacentral:sRNA from 1 species
GUCCAGUGGUACGCCAGCGCGCGCGAAGAGUGCUAUGGCCUCGACGCUCGCCUCGGUCGUCGUCAG